GUUUAUCAGACUUCUCAUAAUACUGCUGUUCAUUCUCGAGAGUAGGUUGUUACAAAAGAGGAAGACUGCCCUCUUUUGCCCUCUGGCUCCAGAGAUUGUCACUGUGAGGCCAUCCACCACGUGAAUCAACCAGGGGAGCCCAAACAGAGCCAAGCAGCUAUCAGGAAAUGAAGUCAACUUUUCAGUGCUGAAAUGGAGAAGCAGACAAAACAUUUCUAGCCUUAGACCUCCAAGAUCAGGAGUAGAAGAGUGAAGGAACAGGUGCAGUUAAUCCAAAGCAAGACAAACACCAGUUGAUGAGUCAUUUCAAAGUACACGCCUCCUUGACUGCCUGGGCCCUGGACUUUGGCCACACCUGCCAGAAUGUCUGCAACAUAAUCUACAGGCGGUAACAAAUGUUCAACACCAAUAUCAAAUUCAGAUAAGUAUGACACACACAUAUACUGGGAGGAUCUCAUUCAAGAUUCAGAACAGACAUCUCUUAAGAAACAGAUGGGAUUUUUUUCACAGAAGCUCAAAGAAUAUAAGAUUUUCAUAAAAUUAUAAAAU